AUUGAACGCUGGCGGCAGGCUUAACACAUGCAAGUCGAGCGGGGGAAGGUAGCUUGCUACCGGACCUAGCGGCGGACGGGUGAGUAAUGCUUAGGAAUCUGCCUAUUAGUGGGGGACAACAUCUCGAACGGGAUGCUAAUACCGCAUACGUCCUACGGGAAAAAGCAGGGGAUCUUCGGACCUUGCGCUAAUAGCUGAGCCUAAGUCGGAUUAGCUAGUUGGUGGGGUAAAGGCCUACCAAGGCGACGAGCUGUAGCGGGUCUGAGAGGAUGAUCCGCCACACUGGGACUGAGACACGGCCCAGACUCCUACGGGAGGCGGCAGUGGGGAAUAUUGGACAAUGGGGGGAACCCUGAUCCAGCCAUGCCGCGUGUGUGGAGAAGGCCUUAUGGUUGUAAAGCACUUUAAGCGAGGAGGAGGCUACUUUAGUUAAUACCUAGAGAUAGUGGACGUUACUCGCAGAAUAAGCACCGGCUAACUCUGUGCCAGCCGCCGCUGUAACAC
rnacentral:rRNA from 1 species